rnacentral:rRNA from 1 species
UACGAAGGGGGCUAGCGUUGCUCGGAAUCACUGGGCGUAAAGCGUGCGCAGGCGGUUGUGUAAGACAGAUGUGAAAUCCCCGGGCUCAACCUGGGAACUGCAUUUGUGACUGCACAGCUGGAGUGCGGCAGAGGGGGAUGGAAUUCCGCGUGUAGCAGUGAAAUGCGUAGAUAUGCGGAGGAACACCGAUGGCGAAGGCAAUCCCCUGGGCCUGCACUGACGCUCAUGCACGAAAGCGUGGGGAGCAAACAGG